rnacentral:rRNA from 1 species
UACGAAGGGGGCUAGCGUUGUUCGGAAUUACUGGGCGUAAAGCGCGCGUAGGCGGCUAUGCAAGUCAGAGGUGAAAGGCCUGGGCUUAACCCGGGAGUGGCCUUUGAGACUGCAAGGCUUGAGAGUGGGAGAGGAUGGUGGAAUUCCCAGUGUAGAGGUGAAAUUCGUAGAUAUUGGGAAGAACACCGGUUGCGAAGGCGGCCAUCUGGCCCACCACUGACGCUGAAGCGCGAAAGCGUGGGGAGCAAACAGG